GACGAACGCUUGCGGCGUGCUUAACACAUGCAAGUCGAACGGAAAGGCCCUGCUUUUGUGGGGUGCUCGAGUGGCGAACGGGUGAGUAACACGUGAGUAACCUGCCCUUGACUUUGGGAUAACUUCAGGAAACUGGGGCUAAUACCGGAUAGGAGCUCCUGCUGCAUGGUGGGGGUUGGAAAGUUUCGGCGGUUGGGGAUGGACUCGCGGCUUAUCAGCUUGUUGGUGGGGUAGUGGCUUACCAAGGCUUUGACGGGUAGCCGGCCUGAGAGGGUGACCGGCCACAUUGGGACUGAGAUACGGCCCAGACUCCUACGGGAGGCAGCAGUGGGGAAUAUUGCACAAUGGGCGGAAGCCUGAUGCAGCAACGCCGCGUGCGGGAUGACAGCCUUCGGGUUGUAAACCGCUUUCGCCUGUGACGAAGCGUGAGUGACGGUAAUGGGUAAAGAAGCACCGGCUAACUACGUGCCAGCAGCCGCGGUGAUACGUAGGGUGCGAGCGUUGUCCGGAUUUAUUGGGCGUAAAGGGCUCGUAGGUGGUUGAUCGCGUCGGAAGUGUAAUCUUGGGGCUUAACCCUGAGCGUGCUUUCGAUACGGGUUGACUUGAGGAAGGUAGGGGAGAAUGGAAUUCCUGGUGGAGCGGUGGAAUGCGCAGAUAUCAGGAGGAACACCAGUGGCGAAGGCGGUUCUCUGGGCCUUUCCUGACGCUGAGGAGCGAAAGCGUGGGGAGCGAACAGGCUUAGAUACCCUGGUAGUCCACGCUGUAAACGGUGGGUACUAGGUGUGGGGUCCAUUCCACGGGUUCCGUGCCGUAGCUAACGCUUUAAGUACCCCGCCUGGGGAGUACGGCCGCAAGGCUAAAACUCAAAGGAAUUGACGGGGCCCCGCACAAGCGGCGGAGCAUGCGGAUUAAUUCGAUGCAACGCGUAGAACCUUACCUGGGUUUGACAUGGAUCGGGAGUGCUCAGAGAUGGGUGUGCCUCUUUUGGGGUCGGUUCACAGGUGGUGCAUGGCUGUCGUCAGCUCGUGUCGUGAGAUGUUGGGUUAAGUCCCGCAACGAGCGCAACCCUUGUUCACUGUUGCCAGCACGUUAUGGUGGGGACUCAGUGGAGACCGCCGGGGUCAACUCGGAGGAAGGUGGGGAUGACGUCAAGUCAUCAUGCCCCUUAUGUCCAGGGCUUCACGCAUGCUACAAUGGCUGGUACAGAGAGUGGCGAGCCUGUGAGGGUGAGCGAAUCUCGGAAAGCCGGUCUCAGUUCGGAUUGGGGUCUGCAACUCGACCUCAUGAAGUCGGAGUCGCUAGUAAUCGCAGAUCAGCAACGCUGCGGUGAAUACGUUCCCGGG
rnacentral:rRNA from 1 species